GGAGCAGGUAAGGGGGAAUGAGGUGGAUGGUCGGGGCCUUCUGCACCCCCGGGACCCCGGCAGGGCAUCCCUCUGCGGCUCCCCCGGGCCAUUCCCACCAAUCCCAUCGCAUCUCUUCCAUCGCAUCCCCGCUAUGCUUCCUCCAUUCCGCACAUCUCCAUCCCUUCCCCCCACAGCCCAGCGCCCUGCCCUCCUCAUCCCAUCGUAUCUCCGGCGCCCUCUCAGGCCAUCCCCAUCCCAUCCCCAUCCCCAUCUUCAUCCUCAUCUCAUCCCACCCCCGUGCCUCCAUCACCGCGCCGCAGUGCCAUCUGUCCCCGGGCCCGGCUCAGUACCCGGCGCGGCCCAGCGGGCCCAGUGUCACCCGGUGCCGGUGCGCAGUGCGGAGCCACCGCCCCGGGACCAGCAGCUCUGCUUUCCCCGGCCGCGUCCCCUCGCCCCGCCGGGCACUGCAUUCCGUGCAGGUAAUGGGAGCUGCGGGGGUGACAGCGGGCCUGGCGAUGUCACCCGGCACUGUGCCCCGCUGGAGCAGGCUGCCCCAUCUACGUCCAUCUGCGGGAGCCCCUCGGGGCGGGGAGCCCCAAGCACCGGCCCUAAAGAGGAGAACGGGUCGGGGCACACAGAGGGAGUGCAUCGGCGCGACCGGGGGGUCCUUGCACAGAGCACCCAGGCCUGGGCUGCAAGUGCAGCGGGCGCAGUGCACUGGCCAUGCGUGCAGCAUGCCUUGCACAGUGCAGGAGGCGCACACACGCAGGAUGCCCGAGGCCACAGGGCCGUGCAGUGGCAGCCAGCUCAGUGCAGCGCAGUGGCAGCAUGAUUGUGCUGUGAGUGCGGUGCUGCAGCAGCAGCGUGCUCGGUGCGGUGCGUGUAGGCAGCGUGCUGGCGGUACAGGCGGGGGCUGUGCUGGCAGCACACCCUAAGCAGCGUUCCCAGGGUGUUCUGUGUGAUGGGCACAGGGAUGUAGCAAUGCCCAUGGGCCGGCAACGUGCUUGGGGUGGCGUGCAGCUGAGCCGGAUGGGUCGAAGGGCAAUACUCAGUGCUGAGCCCACCGUGGGCACGGGUCAGGCUGGGGGCAGAGCAGGUUGGGGGCAGCGGCACCGCACAGCCCUCGUGCCGCCUGCCCGUGCCACGUGCAGGGAGCGACCCAAUUCUCAGAGCCUCCCCAGGGCCCCUUCUGCAGCCCGGGGUCUCUGCUGGCCCCAAAUGCCCUCGUGCUGCUCCCUGCACGCUGCUGGGAAGGCACUGCUGGCUCCCUCGGUGCUGUGUGGGAUCACAGCUGUGGGCAGAGUGCUGCUGGCACACGCAGGGCCGAGGUGUCCCCAAGAAGCAGAGGUCUGGGGGGCUGUGAUAAACCACAGGGGUCCUCUCCGGGAGAGGGUGCAGUGGGAUGCAGGUGGUGGGUUUGCUGUGUCCCCAGAGGGUGCCAUGGGACCCAUACAAGCCCCAUCUGCAGCCCUGAAACGCUGCCAGCUGAUGGCGGCAUCCUCCGGGGGAUACAGGAGGAACCCAGCGGGGCUGGGGGCAGAACGGGGCUGCUGGCACCUACCAGCGGAGGCAGGAGAGUGGGUGGGAGCAAAAUCCUCUCCCUGUAGAGGGGACGUGGUGCUCGGGACCCGUGGGCAGUGGGAGUGUGGCAGUGCACCUGCCCGCCCUGAGGCACACAGACACAGUCCCCACCCACAGCUCGCUCUUCUCAAGGCUCAGGCCACUCCUGGGGGCCCUGCUGAGUUCUGCCUGAGCACCCAAAUGGGGCUGCUGUGUCACACCGCUGUCCAUCCCACCAUGGACAGCCGCAGCAGGACCAUCCCUGCCGUGCCCCAGAUGCGCAGUGGAUGCCCAUGUGGGUGCUCCCCGUGCACUGCUGCAGAGCCCCCCCGGCGCCCUGCCGCGCAGCCUCCCCAUGCACCCACGCCAUCCUCGCAGAGGAGGAAUAAUUUGGGGAAACCAUGGCAACCCAGGGAUGCACCACGUUGUCCCUGGGUUCCCCCGGCAGCGCGACCUCGCACAGCUCAGCAGGCAGUGUGGUGUCCGUGUGAUGCAGAGCCCACACCCCUGGAGCUCUCUGUGCCCCGUGGCCCCAGCAGCCACCUGCUCUCAUGGCCAGGACCCUCAACACACCUCUUUUAUUUUGCAGUGCUGGGAUGGAGCCGCCACGGUGCCCUCGGCCAGCUCAGCCCACCUGCCCCAUCCCUGCUGCUGCUGGACCAGGGCCAGCCGCCUUCCCCUGAGGCCAUCUGAAGGAAGCUGGCGACGGAAGCGUCACUUUUAAGAUGACACGAACAGACCCACCUGACAUCCUGGUGUCUACGGUGUACCAAGACAUAAAGGUGGCCUCCGCAGCCCCUGGGGAUUCCAUU
rnacentral:lncRNA from 1 species